GAGUUGCUGCUGGSUCUCUAGGGAGCAUGUGCACACUUUUCGUUUUUAUAUUUCCACCUGUGCACCUUUUGUAGACUUGGAUAUCUUUCUGACACAUUGUCAGGUUUGAGGAUUGACUUUCUUGGUCUGUCCUUACAUUUCCAGUCUAUGUUCCUUCAAUAUAUACCCCAGUUAUAGAAUGUAAUAAGUGGGCCUUUGUGCCUAUAAACCUUAUACAACUUUCAGCAACGGAUCUCUUGGCUCUCGCAUCGAUGAAGAACGCAGCGAAAUGCGAUAAGUAAUGUGAAUUGCAGAAUUCAGUGAAUCAUCGAAUCUUUGAACGCACCUUGCGCUCCUUGGUAUUCCGAGGAGCAUGCCUGUUUGAGUGUCAUUAAUAUAAUCAACUUCUUCAGCUUUUGUUGAGUGGAGUUGGAUGUGGGGGUUUUUGCUGGCCUUUCUAAAGGUCAGCUCCCCUAAAAUUUAUUAGCGGAACAAUCUGUUGACUGUUCAUUAGUGUGAUAAUUAUCUACGCUAUUGAACUGAGGCAAGUUCAGCUUUAAUAGUCCAUUGACUUGGACAAAUUUUUAUUA
rnacentral:rRNA from 1 species